rnacentral:rRNA from 1 species
UGCGUAGGCGGCAUAUUAAGUUGGAUGUGAAAUGCCCGGGCUUAACUUGGGACUUGCAUUCAAAACUGGUAAGCUAGAGUACAGGAGAGGAAAGCGGAAUUCCUAGUGUAGCGGUGAAAUGCGUAGAUAUUAGGAGGAACACCGGUGGCGAAGGCGGCUUUCUGGACUGAAACUGACGCUGAGGCACGAAAGCGUGGGGAGCAAACA